ACACUUGUCGUGUCCCCGCGCAGAGCUGCGACCCGCACCGCAGAGGGUCCCAACCCUUAAAAGGGCUCCGAUUGGGCAGGGCAGGCCCGGGCGGGGUCAGCGGAUUUGCGUGUCAGUCGCUCCCACACUCCUGCCGUCGAGAGCUGGGAUUCUUUCAGUGGGUUCAAGCGCAACGGCUGGGAUGGGAGGAAACUGAGUCUCCAAGUUACAAAUGGCUGUGUCCUGAGUUCAAGAAGCGAAGCUCGGGACUAGACAUGAUUUCAUGCCCAUGGCUAGCUCCCAAGCUGGAUCCAGCACCAGGCAGGCAGAGAAUUCAUGCCCCCCCCCCCCC